UCAGUGGCGAACGGGUGAGUAACACGUGAGUAACCUGCCCCAGACUCUGGGAUAACCCCGGGAAACCGGAGCUAAUACCGGAUAUGACCCUUGUACGCAUGUGCCGGGGGUGGAAAGUUUUUCGGUCUGGGAUGGGCUCGCGGCCUAUCAGCUUGUUGGUGAGGUAGUGGCUCACCAAGGCGACGACGGGUAGCCGGCCUGAGAGGGCGACCGGCCACACUGGGACUGAGACACGGCCCAGACUCCUACGGGAGGCAGCAGUGGGGAAUAUUGCACAAUGGGCGAAAGCCUGAUGCAGCGACGCCGCGUGAGGGAUGACGGCCUUCGGGUUGUAAACCUCUUUCAGCAGGGAAGAAGCGUGAGUGACGGUACCUGCAGAAGAAGCACCGGCUAACUACGUGCCAGCAGCCGCGGUAAUACGUAGGGUGCGAGCGUUGUCCGGAAUUAUUGGGCGUAAAGAGCUUGUAGGCGGUUUGUCGCGUCUGCUGUGAAAAUCCGGGGCUCAACUCCGGACUUGCAGUGGGUACGGGCAGGCUAGAGUGUGGUAGGGGAGACUGGAAUUCCUGGUGUAGCGGUGGAAUGCGCAGAUAUCAGGAGGAACACCGAUGGCGAAGGCAGGUCUCUGGGCCACUACUGACGCU
rnacentral:rRNA from 1 species